rnacentral:rRNA from 1 species
ACUCCUACGGGAGGCAGCAGUGGGGAAUAUUGGACAAUGGGGGGAACCCUGAUCCAGCCAUGCCGCGUGUGUGAAGAAGGCCUUAUGGUUGUAAAGCACUUUAAGCGAGGAGGAGGCUCUUUUGGUUAAUACCCAAGAUGAGUGGACGUUACUCGCAGAAUAAGCACCGGCUAACUCUGUGCCAGCAGCCGCGGUAAU